GAACAAAAAAAUUACGGCGUAUCUCUCUCCUAAAAUCUCCAAGUUUCGCUCAAAUUUCUCCCAAUUUCUCAACGAAAUCUAAAAAUUGUUGAUAUUGUUGCAUAAGAACAGUAAUAUUUGAAGGAUUUACCAACAAAUACACCAACCAAAUUCGUGAAGCGAAACCCUAGAAAUCUGAAUUUUCAAUUUUCGAAUGGAUCAAAGUGACGACUUGAAGUUGCGAAUCUAUAGAAAUUACUUAAAAACAAAGAAGUUGCAAAAUCUACGAGCAUGCAUCGAAGUAUGAAGAUUCUUUAAAAAAGCUACAGAUAAGUAAACAAAAAUCUACGGAAGUCGUAAGUGGAGGUUCGUAGCAUACAUUCAAGGUAUUCAUCAAUCUACUUCUGAUUUAGAAAUUCCAGAAAUUCGUUAGUAAUCAGGUAGAUUGAAUGUUCUAA